UACGUAGGGAGCAAGCGUUUUCCGGAAUCAUUGGGCGUAAAGAGCGCGUAGGUGGCUGUAUAAGUCCGUUGUGAAAGUCAAAGGCUCAACCUUUGAAAGCCGAUGGAUACUGUAGAGCUAGAGUACGGAAGAGGCGAGUGGAAUUCCUGGUGUAGCGGUGGAAUGCGCAGAUAUCAGGAGGAACACCAAUAGCGAAGGCAGCUCGCUGGGACGUUACUGACACUGAGGCGCGAAAGCGUGGGGAGCGAACAGG
rnacentral:rRNA from 1 species